rnacentral:rRNA from 1 species
UACGGAGGGGGGCUAGCGUUGUUCGGAAUUACUGGGGCGUAAAGCGCGCGUAGGCGGCUUUGUAAGUUAGAGGUGAAAGCCCGAAGCUCAACUUCGGAAUUGCCUUUAAGACUGCAUCGCUAGAAUUGUGGAGAGGUAAGUGGAAUUCCGAGUGUAGAGGUGAAAUUCGUAGAUAUUCGGAAGAACACCAGUGGCGAAGGCGACUUACUGGACACAUAUUGACGCUGAGGUGCGAAAGCGUGGGGAGCAAACAGG